rnacentral:rRNA from 1 species
UACGUAGGUGGCAAGCGUUGUCCGGAUUUACUGGGCGUAAAGAGCGCGCAGGCGGUCGUCCAAGUCGCGUGUGAAAGCCCCCCGGCUCAACUGGGGAGGGUCACGCGAUACUGGUCGACUCGAAGGCAGGAGAGGGUAGUGGAAUUCCCGGUGUAGUGGUGAAAUGCGUAGAUAUCGGGAGAACACCAGUGGCGAAGGCGACUACCUGGCCUGUUCUUGACGCUGAGGCGCGAAAGCUAGGGGAGCAAACGGG